UAGCUCAGUUACCACUGCCAAGAUGGGAAAU
rnacentral:piRNA from 1 species